AGUCACUGACAUUAGAUACCCCUGUAGUCCAGGGUGUAAACGCUGCAGACUUGGUGUUGGAAGUCCUUUGGGGGGCAUUCAGUGCCGGAGAGAAGUUGUUAAGUCUGCUACUUGGGAGUACGUCCGCAAGGAUGAAACUUAAAGGAAUUGGCGGGGGAGCACCGCAACGGGAGGAGCGUGCGGUUUAAUUGGAUUCAACACCGGAAAACUCACCAGGGGAGACUGUUACAUGAAACCCAGACUAAUGAUCUUGGUUGAUUUUCAG
rnacentral:rRNA from 1 species